AUAAGCAGAUUUUAGAUAUAGCUCCUCUGAGCUUUCUUAUGUUAUGAUAUACAGGAUGCUGUAUUUUUGAAUUGGGUAAAUUUCCAUUUGCUUUAUGUUCAGGCCUCCCAGGAUCUUGUUCUAUAAUAUUGAAGAAAAGCAACUUGAUUCCAUAGAGGCUUCGUGUAAGUUAUGUUACUGCUGGAAGUCUCUUGCAACCGUGAAAGGAGCCAGAUUGAGAAUCAUUAGCUGAUACAAGGCAGAGUCAAAAACCUGAAAAGUGGAACUGGAACCCGAGCCAGAGCCCACCGUGUCUCUAAACUGAAAAUCUGAAGAAAUUGAAAACUAGACACUUGAAGACUGAAAUAAAGAAAGUAAUGUGGCUCAAAUAUUUGCCCCUGGAAUAUGCCUCUCAAAUGAAUUAAUGGACCAAGGAAACACAGGUAUGGUAUUUCAGGGGCCAUUUUAUCAGACUGAUUGUAUGUAUUAAAGAUGAGUGGUUUUUCAGGUUGUCUCCCUAGAACCCUUUGUUUCUUUGUAGGUGCCACACACACAGUGGU